UCAGCUUACACUUGCUUACUGCU
rnacentral:sRNA from 1 species